GAACGCUGGCGGCAGGCCUAACACAUGCAAGUCGAGCGGUAACAUUUCUAGCUUGCUAGAAGAUGACGAGCGGCGGACGGGUGAGUAACGCGUAGAAAUCUACCUAGUAGUGGGGGAUAGCCCAGAGAAAUUUGGAUUAAUACCGCAUACGCCCUACGGGGGAAAGCGGGGGAUCUUCGGACCUCGUGCUAUUAGAUGAGUCUGCGUCGGAUUAGCUUGUUGGUGAGGUAAUGGCUCACCAAGGCGACGAUCCGUAGCUGGUCUGAGAGGAUGACCAGCCACACUGGAACUGAGACACGGUCCAGACUCCUACGGGAGGCAGCAGUGGGGAAUAUUGCACAAUGGGCGCAAGCCCGAUGCAGCCAUGCCGCGUGUGUGAAGAAGGCCUUAGGGUUGUAAAGCACUUUCAGCAGUGAGGAAAGGGGUGUCGUUAAUAGCGCCAUCCUGUGACGUUAACUGCAGAAGAAGGACCGGCUAACUCCGUG
rnacentral:rRNA from 1 species